GGAGAACCACAGUGGAGAAGAAGAAGGUGCAGGAGGAGGGAGGAGAAGCUGCCAUGGGUGAGGAGUCAAGAAAAAAUGGCCCUGAGGGCUGGCUGAUUGGCGUUAAGAGCAGCCCAGAUAAAACAUAUGCUUUAGAUCCUUUUGGACUUAAUUUGUAUGACAGAAGCCUCUGUUUCUGCGAUUCCAAUUUGGCUGGAACACAGCAAAAGAAUAGACUCAGUGACCUGAUGAAGUUCAUCUGGAAGUCUGGAUGGGCAGAGCCUGAACUUCUGAGGGUAAAGAAAAGAGUUCCUACAACCGAGGCAUCUCCAGGCCCUGCAGUUCCUCUGACACUGGGUUGCUGUCAGGCGCACCAGUGGAUCCUGAGGCCAGAGGACACUGCUGGGUUUAUUGGGACUGAGUCAUUAAGAAAGCUUCCGUGGUAAUAAGUCAUGUUAGCAGCUACCAUGUGUGUGAUGUCAGAUUCCAAGCCUUGACAUGAGUUUUCCUACAACAGAUGCCUGGAGCCUGGCAGGACUGCA
rnacentral:lncRNA from 1 species